AUAUGCCAUUUCUGAGACACAAU
rnacentral:piRNA from 1 species